CCGAUAGCAUGCCGGGGCCUCUCCCUGGGGGGGCCCGGGCCCCCUGUGAGGACUGUCGGCCAUUGUUAACUGCGCCGUGUGUGAAGGAAAACGGGACACAGGCGGUCAGCUGAUACCUGUGCGAUCUGGCCACCGGGGGACUCAGUUCCAGUGCCUGCAGCUCCAGUUACACGGCCGGCCAGGCAAGGGGGUUGCGCCAGCUCUGGGAAGGGCCCACGGAGCUGCUGGCCCGGCUGACGUGCCCCCAUCCAUUGCAUGCCCAGCGCAGGCAACAGGGAGCCAGCCAGUAGAGCAAGAAGAUGGGGAAACUGAGGCCCAGAGAAGUGAGCAAGAAGCCUUGGCAUGAGUUACAAGGAGAAAGUACAGGAUUCGGAAGGUGAGCAGGAAAUAGGUGUGAUUCCUAAUGCCAAGCACAGAGAGGGUGAGUAAUCAUGGGCGAAUAAGGGAGUGAGUCAACAGUGUUAAGGAGGUAGGGAGGGGAAGGGGAAAGGGAGGAUGGAGAAGCCUGAAGGGCUUUAAAAGAUCCACUUGCAUCCUGCUGCUGCUUAAGAUGCUAGACCAGCUGUCACCAUGGUAACAGGAGAAAAUCACAGAGCAAUUUGUAAUCAGCCAUGGUUCUUGCUGCUCCCUGGGAACAUUGCUCCCCAUCUGCAUCUCUGAGCAGGAGGAGUCCUGCAGAUCCCAGAGUCCAGCCCCCUCCGACGCUUGAGACCCUUCGCGUCCCCCUCCAUGCAAAGCUGUUCAUCCACAGCUCACACAGCUCCCUGAAUAGGAAGCUACCUCCUUUUGGGCCAACCUGCCCCAGCCCUGUGGGGCCUGUGGGGAGCAAGCUUUCCCUCCCGACAACCUGGAGCCUACCUCUGUUGCUCUGGCCACUGGAGCCCAGCUUCACCCUCUCUACCCACAGCCCCACUUCCUCCCCUGCCCUAGAGCAGCCUUCAGUGACUGCCAGCAACCCCGUUCUCCAUCUGGAGUACAUUCUCCAAAUGGAGAAGCCAAAUGGUUGGCUUCUCUCAAACAGCCCCAAGGACAAGAUCCAGGAAAAGUGUAAGCAGUGUAAAGCACAAAAUUCACCUCCCUCAUUUUUGGCACAGACCUUGAUUAAUUGGACCUGAGUUCAAGUUGACCCAGCCACGGGCUUACCUCUGUGUUGUCUCCAUUGUCCUGUCCACUGAGGGUCCCACAUGCAUGUGCAACAUAAUGAGGCUGAUAAGAAGCUCCUGAUUAUCCUCUGGGAUCUUCCUGCAUGUCCUGAAUGUCCAAGCCAGAAAGGGAUUCUCAGAGAGGCAGAGUGACCUGCCUGGCAUCAUGGAGAGAGUGAGCAGCCCAGGCUGGAAGUGAGCACAUGUCCUGGUCCCCUUUGGAGCUGCUCUGCCGGGCCAGCAGCCACCAGCCGCGUGUGGCUCCUGAGCAAUUGAAACGUGGUAAGUGCUGAAUUGAGAUGUUCUCUAAGUGUCAAAUGCACACCAGGCUUCAUGAAAAACAAUGAAAAAUGUCUCAUUCGUAGCAGUUGAAAUAUAGCUUACAUGUUGAAAUAAUAUUUUGGGUAGAUUGAGUUAUAUAAAUUAGAUAAUUAAAUUUGAUUUCACCUGUUUCUUUUGAUAUAUUCUUUAACGUAGCUUCCAGGAAGUUGGAAAUCUCACGUGAAGCUUGCACUGUGUUUCUAUGGGACAGCCAGGCCCAUCCCCUAUGCCAUACUCUGCCUCUCACAUCUGGUCACUUAACGUACAGGGCCUUGAUGACCUCCUCAAUCAGCAGAA